UCGAAUUUUCUGACUCAUAGCAGGAGAGGUUUUUUCUCUGGAAAUGGUCGGUGCGAGUUCGGAAUUUCCUUUGAAAAACGAGCAUUGUUUUUUCGAGUAAAUGUUUUAAAAUAAAACACAUUUUAAGGCAAUAAUAUGUAGAUAGAUACAAAAGAACAAGUAAAGCAAAAUUCAAACGUUGAGACCACCUUUGGAAACAGAUGGUCUUGAUGCAUAGUUCUAUAAUGGUUUACCGAACGUGUAAAAAACUCUUAACGUUCGCAUAAAAAAGUUACCGUAAAGCGGAAGGCUACACCCAAACUGCCGUGAGGCUCUGCUAUGAUGUGAAUAUUUCACUAAUAUUUUUAUUACUCUCGUGUGCGAAGAGCCGUCGGUUCCUCUCCGCGAGUGUCUAUUUUAAAUACUUAUAAGUACCGUUAUACUUUUCUUUGGCCCAUCAUUUCGUGUGGGAAAAGUAGUGUAAAUCGAUACGAAAGCCUGUUCAAGUGUGCUCUCCAAUUUCAGCUGCCCCUUUAAAAUAAAGUGAUACUCGCGGAGAGUGUUUUCAUGCUGAUUUUGGUGGCUACUUUAUCCUAACUGCAUGACGAUUGAGCAACUUCCAAAUUAAAAAGAAAACUUCAUCGAGGAUUAACUAAAGAUGAACUUCUCCCAUCAGCCAGAUGAGUUAUUUUUUAGUACACCGUUUUGGCUACCACCGAACGUGACCUGGGACUAUUUGAACGAUUCGAUAUAGGAGAUGGCUUUCAAUUCCCGAGCGUCAAAGAUCUAUACGCCGCCUGGAAGUUAGUUCCUCUGUUUUUGAUCGCAAAAUAUGGGGUGGAAAAAUACGUUGGUCCAAAGGUUGGCGCAUGGUUUGGGAUACAAGGUGAAGAGCGUAAAAAACCACCACAUGUGGACUUGCUAGAAAAAGCCCAUCGGUCCAAGCCUUGGGGGAAAUGGAGUGACAAUGAAAUAUCAGCGCUUACGAAACAACUUGACUGGACCGAGGAACAAAUUAGAGAAUGGCUCAAAGCCAGAAGAAAAUUCGCAUUGCCUACGACUUUAGAGAAAUUCAGUGAAAGCUUGUAAGUACUUCAAAGAAGUAAAUUGUCUAUUAAUACAAUAUUCACCUUCCAAGUUUUACUACUUUCGCCCAUUCAUUGUCAACGUAUAUUUUAUCUAUUCUGCAUGAUAUGUUUACGACAAAACAUGCCUAGUGUGGCCUUAUUCCCCUUUUCAAUUUAAUUAAAAUUACCAUGUCCAGUGUUCUAUUGAGGUUCUCGAUUCUAAAAUGCUUGA
rnacentral:lncRNA from 1 species